rnacentral:rRNA from 1 species
AGAACGAACGCUGGCGGCAGGCUUAACACAUGCAAGUCGAGCGCCCCGCAAGGGGGAGCGGCAGACGGGUGAGUAACGCGUGGGAAUCUACCCAUCACUACGGAACAACUCCGGGAAACUGGAGCUAAUACCGUAUACGUCCUUCGGGAGAAAGAUUUAUCGGUGAUGGAUGAGCCCGCGUUGGAUUAGCUAGUGGUGGGUAUGGCCUACAAGCGACGAUCCAUAGCUGGUCUGAGAGGAUGAUCACGCCACUAUUAGGGACUGAGACACGGACCCAAACGUCUACGGGAGG